rnacentral:rRNA from 1 species
AUUGAACGCUGGCGGCAGGCCUAACACAUGCAAGUCGAACGGGAGGCGGACGGGUGAGUAAUGUAUGGGGAACUGCCUGAUAGAGGGGGAUAACGGAUGGAAACGGUGGCUACUAGCGCAUACGAUCGGAUGGGCCCAUAUGGGAUUAGCUAGUAGGUGGGGUAACGGCUCACCAAGGCGACGAACUCUAGCUGGUCUGAGAGGAUGAGCAGCCACACUGGGACUGAGACACGGCCCAGACUCCUACGGGAGGCAGCAGUGGGGAAUAUUGCACAAUGGGCGCAAGCCUGAUGCAGCCAUGCCGCGUGUAUGAAGAAGGCCUUAGGGUUGUAAAGUACUUUCAGCGGGGAGGCGUUACCCGCAGAAGAAGCACCGGCUAACUCCGUGCCAGCAGCCGCGGUAAUAC